rnacentral:rRNA from 1 species
AUUGAACGCUGGCGGCAGGCCUAACACAUGCAAGUCGAGCGGAUGAGUGGAGCUUGCUCCAUGAUUCAGCGGCGGACGGGUGAGUAAUGCAUAGGAAUCUGCCUGGUAGUGGGGGACAACGUUUCGAAAGGAACGCUAAUACCGCAUACGUCCUACGGGAGAAAGUGGGGGAUCUUCGGACCUCACGCUAUCAGAUGAGCCUAGGUCGGAUUAGCUAGUUGGUGAGGUAAAGGCUCACCAAGGCGACGAUCCGUAACUGGUCUGAGAGGAUGAUCAGUCACACUGGAACUGAGACACGGUCCAGACUCCUACGGGUGGCAGCAGUGGGGAAUAUUGGACAAUGGGCGAAAGCCUGAUCCAGCCAUGCCGCGUGUGUGAAGAAGGUCUUCGGAUUGUAAAGCACUUUAAGUUGGGAGGAAGGGCAGUAAGUUAAUACCUUGCUGUUUUGACGUUACCAAAAGAAUAAGCACCGGCUAACUUCGUGCCAGCCGCCGCCGUAACAC